rnacentral:rRNA from 1 species
CCCCUAGACGUUCUGGGCUGCACGCGCGCUACAAUAAUACGCACAGCGAGUAUCACCGAGCUCGAAAGGGCAAGGUAAACAAUAGAAAAGGUACUGUAAUGGUUAUAGAUCCUUGUAAUUAUUGAUCCUCAACGAGGAAUUCCUAGUAAGUAUGUGUCAUCAUCACGCACUGAUUACGUCCCUGCCCUUUGUACACACCGCCCGUCGCUCCUACCGAUUGGGUGAGCCGAUGAAACUCUCGGAUGUAGGCUAUUCAUAGCCCGCAGAAGAGAUUUGAAUCGUAGCGCUUAGAGGAAGGAGAAGUCGUAACA